UGAGGAAUAUUGGGCAAUGCCCGCAAGGGUGACCCAGCAACGCCGCGUGGAGGAUGAAUGUCGUAAGAUUGUAAACUCCUGUUAGAGGGGAAGAAUAGUACCGGUUGGACCGGUAUAUGACUGUACCCUCAGAGAAAGCACCGGCUAACUACGUGCCAGCAGCCGCGGUAAUACGUAGGGGGCAAGCGUUGUCCGGAUUUACUGGGUGUAAAGGGCGCGCAGGCGGGAUAAAAAGUCAGUGGUGAAAUCCUACAGCUUAACUGUAGAACUGCCUUUGAUACUUUUAUUCUUGAGUUCGGGAGAGAGAGACGGAAUUCCAGGUGUAGUGGUGAAAUACGUAGAUAUCUGGAAGAACACCAGUUGCGAAGGCGGUCUCUUGGUCCGACACUGACGCUGAGGCGCGAAAGCGUGGGGAGCAAACA
rnacentral:rRNA from 1 species